UACAGAGGGGGCAAGCGUUAUUCGGAAUUAUUGGGCGUAAAGGGCGCGUAGGCGGCUUUGCAAGUGGCGGGUGAAAUCCCUCGGCUUAACCGAGGAACUGCCUGCCAGACUGCAUGGCUUGAGACCAGGAGAGGUGAGUGGAAUUCCCAGUGUAGCGGUGAAAUGCGUAGAUAUUGGGGAGGAACACCAGUGGCGAAGGCGGCUCACUGGACUGGUACUGACGCUGAGGCGCGAAAGCGUGGGGAGCAAACAGG
rnacentral:rRNA from 1 species